rfam:Enterococcus cecorum DSM 20682 = ATCC 43198 genomic scaffold adfme-supercont2.1, whole genome shotgun sequence.
GUAGUAACAACAAAUAGUGAGAAGUCAGCAGAGGUCAUAGUAGAGGGAACUCGAAGGAC